rnacentral:rRNA from 1 species
AGGACGAACGCUGGCGGCGUGCUUAACACAUGCAAGUCGAGCGGAAAGGCCCUUCGGGGUACUCGAGCGGCGAACGGGUGAGUAACACGUGAGCAACCUGCCCUUGGCUCUGGGAUAGCCUCCGGAAACGGGGAUUAAUACCGGACAUUCACUUUCUCCUGCAUGGGGGUUGGUGGAAAGUUUUUCGGCCAGGGAGGGGCUCGCGGCCUAUCAGCUUGUUGGCGGGUAACGGCCCACCAAGGCGACGACGGGUAGCCGGCCUGAGAGGGCGAUCGGCCACACUGGGACUGAGACACGGCCCAGACUCCUACGGGAGGCAGCAGUGGGGAAUAUUGCACAAUGGGCGCAAGCCUGAUGCAGCGACGCCGCGUGGGGGAUGAAGGCCUUCGGGUUGUAAACCCCGUUUCACCACGGAGCGAAUUCAGACGGUACCUGGGGAAGAAGCGUCGGCUAACUACGUGCCAGCAGCCGC